rnacentral:rRNA from 1 species
AGUGAACGCUGGCGGUAGGCCUAACACAUGCAAGUCGAACGGCAGCACAGUAAGAGCUUGCUCUUACGGGUGGCGAGUGGCGGACGGGUGAGGAAUACAUCGGAAUCUACAUUUUCGUGGGGGAUAACGUAGGGAAACUUACGCUAAUACCGCAUACGACCUACGGGUGAAAGCAGGGGAUCUUCGGACCUUGCGCGAUUGAAUGAGCCGAUGUCGGAUUAGCUAGUUGGCGGGGUAAAGGCCCACCAAGGCGACGAUCCGUAGCUGGUCUGAGAGGAUGAUCAGCCACACUGGAACUGAGACACGGUCCAGACUCCUACGGGAGGCAGCAGUGGGGAAUAUUGGACAAUGGGCGCAAGCCUGAUCCAGCCAUACCGCGUGGGUGAAGAGGGCCUUCGGGUUGUAAAGCCCUUUUGUUGGGAAAGAAAAGCAGCAGGUUAAUACCCCGCUGUUCUGACGGUACCCAAAGAAUAAGCACCGGCUAACUUCGUG